rnacentral:rRNA from 1 species
UACGAAGGUCCCAAGCGUUGUUCGGAAUCACUGGGCGUAAAGGGUGCGUAGGCGGCGCGGAAAGUCAGAGGUGAAAUCCCGGGGCUCAACCCCGGAACUGCCUCCGAUACUGCCGCGCUAGAGUGCUGAAAAGGAGCCCGGAAUUCACGGUGGAGCAGUGAAAUGCGUAGAUAUCGUGAGGAACACUAGCGGCGAAGGCGGGACUCUGGGCAGCAACUGACGCUGAGGCACGAAGGCCAGGGGAGCAAACGGG